UGGGGAAUAUUGCGCAAUGGGCGAAAGCCUGACGCAGCAACGCCGCGUGAGUGAUGAAGGCCUUCGGGUCGUAAAGCUCUGUCGGAGGGAACGAAUGCUCCUGAAGUUAACAGCCUCAGGAGGUGACGGUACCCUCAAAGGAAGCACCGGCUAACUCUGUGCCAGCAGCCGCGGUAAUACAGAGGGUGCAAGCGUUAAUCGGAAUGACUGGGCGUAAAGGGCGCGUAGGUGGAUGCGUGAGUAAAUUGUGAAAGACCCGGGCUUAACCUGGGAAGGUCAAUUUAAACGGCGUAUCUAGAGUGGAGUAGAGGGAAGUAGAAUUUCCGGUGUAGCGGUGAAAUGCGUAGAUAUCGGAAGGAAUACCGGUGGCGAAGGCGUCUUCCUGGACUCUAACUGACACUGAGGCGCGAAAGCAUGGGGAUCAAACAGGAUUAGAUACCCAAGUAGUCCCUGAGCGGGCUGGCAAGGCGCAU
rnacentral:rRNA from 1 species